rnacentral:rRNA from 1 species
UGCGUAGGCGGGUCUUUAAGUCGAGGGGUGAAAUCCUGGAGCUCAACUCCAGAACUGCCUUUGAUACUGAAGAUCUUGAGUUCGGGAGAGGUGAGUGGAACUGCGAGUGUAGAGGUGAAAUUCGUAGAUAUUCGCAAGAACACCAGUGGCGAAGGCGGCUCACUGGCCCGAUACUGACGCUGAGGACGAAAGCGUGGGGGAGCAAACA